rnacentral:rRNA from 1 species
UACAGGGGGUGCAAACGUUGCUCGGAAUCAUUGGGCGUAAAAGCGCACGUAGGCGGUUCGUUAUGUCGGAUGUGAAAGCCCUUGGCUUAACCGAGGAAGUGCAUCCGAAACUGGCGAGCUAGAGUACGAAAGAGGAUCGCGGAAUUCCCGGUGUAGAGGUGAAAUUCGUAGAUAUCGGGAGGAACACCGGUGGCGAAGGCGGCGAUCUGGGGUCGAUACUGACGCUGAGGGUGCGAAAAGCGUGGGGGAGCAAACAGGG